GCUUGCUCUUUGACGUUAGCGGCGGACGGGUGAGUAACACGUGGAUAACCUACCUAUAAGACUGGGAUAACUUCGGGAAACCGGAGCUAAUACCGGAUAACAUAUUGAACCGCAUGGUUCAAUAGUGAAAGGCGGCUUUGCUGUCACUUAUAGAUGGAUCCGCGCCGUAUUAGCUAGUUGGUAAGGUAACGG
rnacentral:rRNA from 1 species